rnacentral:rRNA from 1 species
UACGUAGGGACCGAGCGUUGUCCGGAUUCAUUGGGCGUAAAGAGCUCGUAGGCGGCCACUCAAGUCGAAUGUGAAACCUCGAGGCUUAACCUCGAGCCUGCAUUUGAUACUGGGCGGCUAGAGUCUGGUAGGGGGAUCUGGAAUUCUUGGUGUAGCGGUGGAAAUGCGUAGAUAUCAAGAGGAACACCGUGGCGGCGAAAGGGCGGGGUUCUGGCCUGGGCUAACACGU